UCCUCUUUACAGAGGCAGUUUGUUUCGAGUCCCCGACAUUACUCGCUGGUAACAAAACAUGAGGGUUGCGCUCGUUGCGGGACUUAACCCAACAUUUCACAACACGAGCUGACGACAGCCAUGCACCACCUGUGCAUCACCCUCGAAGGCGACGCUCUUUCAAACGCUUGCAGAUGCAUGUCAAGCCCUGGUAAGGUUCUUCGCGUUGCAUCGAAUUAAGCCAUAUGCUCCACCGCUUGUGCGGGCCCCCGCCAAUUCCUUUGAGUUUCAACCUUGCGGCCGUAGUCCCCAGGCGGUUCACUUAAUGCGUUAGCUGCGGCACCGAGGCUUGCGCCCCAACACCUAGUGAACAUCGUUUAUGGCCAAGACUAC
rnacentral:misc_RNA from 1 species